rnacentral:rRNA from 1 species
UACGUAGGGUGCAAGCGUUAAUCGGAAUUACUGGGCGUAAAGCGUGCGCAGGCGGUGAUGUAAGACCGAUGUGAAAUCCCCGGGCUUAACCUGGGAACUGCAUUGGUGACUGCAUUGCUAGAGUAUGGCAGAGGGGGGUGGAAUUCCACGUGUAGCAGCGAAAUGCGUAGAGAUGUGGAGGAACACCGAUGGCGAAGGCAGCCCCCUGGGCCAAUACUGACGCUCAUGCACGAAAGCGUGGGGAGCAAACAGG